CAGAUGCUGCCAAUCCUCCUUAGCUUUGUCAGCAACUUCUGUUUUUGUUCCUGAUUUACAAUAUCUGCAGUUCUUUCAGGUUUUUAUUGAGUUUGGAUAGCCUUAAGUGGCUGCUGUGGAUCAGAUCAGAAGCAGUAUGUCAUUGGAGGAUGGGCCUGGGCUUGGUGGUGCGUCUCUCAGACACAGAGAAAGAAGUCUUGGAAAAAUAAACCAAGAUAGAAGGCCCAUGUUUUGCCUUUGGUGUGAUCACGGGUGGGAGAACAAGUGACAGAACAGGUGUCCCAUUCGGCCUCUUAUUCCUUCCAACAGAAUGGCAGCUAAAUGGCCUUGCAGGGAAGCACUUUAAAGAGCAUCUCAAAUUCUCAGUGCAUUAUUUUGAACAGUAAUCGUGUUUUUUUUAAUAUAUAAACUAUUCAUAAUUGGAACAAAUAUAAUGAUGUAGAUUUUUGUUCUGUAUCAGUCCAGAGGAAGUCCAUUGGCUAGCUGUCUCAUUGCAUUUUGCACAGCAUUCAGAAAUCUGCAAGUCGGGAACUUGCUUCUGAAAUGAAUGCACAGUCUGUUAAGAGCAUGCAAGCAGGAUAGGCUAUUGAGCCCAUUGCCUGCUUUGCCAUUCUUGAUCAUUGUUGGUGAUGAACCACAACACCAUAAUCCUGUGCUAUCCAGUUUUCCUUGAUGUCAUAGCUAGAAAUCUGUCAGUCUUUGCCAUUACUUAAUGACUCAGCUUCCACAGCCCUCUGGGGUAGAGAAUGCCAAAGAUUUACUGCCCUCUAAGUCAGGAAGUUCCUUCUCACCUUAGUCCAAACGGCUUGCCUCUUAUUCUGAGACUGUCCCCUGGAUCUAGAUCCUACUGCUUGGGGGAAACAUCUUUCUCCGACCACACACUUUCUCUAAGAAUUUUGCGAGUUUCUUUUGAGAUUGCCAAACCUUAGAGAAUAGAGGCUCAGGCUCCUCAAUUGCUCCUCAUAGUUAGUCCCACCUGAACCUCUGUUGCGCACUCUCUGGCCAGUAUAUCCUUUAUUUGGUCAUAGAAGACAGGGUAGUGGUGGAAGGGUGU